rnacentral:lncRNA from 1 species
CGUGGUCUGCGGUCUUUGAUCUCGCGGAGGCUGGAUUAUGGGCGCUGUUGCAUGCGGCUGAUGGCUGGAAAUAGGCGUGAUCCGUGAAGCUCGGACGCGGAAGAGUUUGGCUCACAGGCUGCUGCGGCUUCCUUGACGGAUGGCUGGAGGAUCCAACGGAUGCAUUCCGGGCGAAUUACGGGGAGAUUGGAUCACGGAAGAGGAGGAUACGCUGGGAGAUUGAUGAUCGCUAGCUUCACGCGGCUGAUGGCGGACACCCGAGGACGCUGGGACGAGCCGAUCACGCUUGGAGCUAGGAAUCCGGAGGAGGAGGAGUCGCUACGCCAUCUCUGGGAUUCGGAAGCUGGUGGCUGGAUCGACGAUGAUUGCGGAGGAGAUUCGGUGUGGAUGCGGGAGAGCUGAAGAAGAAGGUGGCUGGAUCGGUGGCUUCGGAUGCUCCGUGGACGGCUGAUCACGGACGGCUAGGAAGAGAGACUGGCCGCGGGAUCGACGGGAGGACGUCGUGGAAGGUGGACGGCCGCGGGAUCGACGGGAAGACGCAGUGGAAGGUGGACGGCCGAGAUGCUCUGCGGGAGGAAGAAGAUGAACAGUAGCCAAGCCAUUUAUUUAUUUAUUUAUUUUUUAUGUAUUAUUUAUUUUUUUCUCUAACACUGUUCAUAUGAACAGUGUUUUUACGGAACACUGUUCAUAUGAACAGUGUUUUCGGCAUUUUAUUUUUUAUUUUUUAUUUUUUUUAUUUUUAUUUUAACACUGUUUAUAUGAACAGUGUUUUAACUGGACACUGUUCAUAUGAACAUUGAAUCGUGAAUAUUUAGUUAUUAUUAUUAUUAUGAAUUUUAUAUGAAGGCAGGUAACGAGUUGGUUGGAAAUUGGCUUUGGAUUUACGGUGGGUCAUGAUCGUU